UCAUGCUUCAGUGCUCUGUGAGUGUUUAUAGCCCUGUGACUUUAACACUUCAUGACUGAGAUCUGCUGCUCAGCGACUUCACCCACAGCAACCAUGAGUUUGAUCAGCGUCUUCAUCUGCACACUGCUCCUCUGUGCUCGAGGAUCCAGAGGUCAGGUGACUGUGACUCAGAGUCCUGCAGUGAAAACUGUUUCUCCAGGAGACUCGGUCACCAUCAACUGUAAAACUAAUGUUGAUGUUGCUGAUUACUGUAGUGGUAGCUAUACCUGUAUGUCCUGGUAUCAGCAGAAACCUGGAGAAGCUCCUAAACUCCUGAUUUAUUCUGCAAACACUAGAGAAUCAGGUAUUCCAUCUCGAUUCAGUGGCAGUGGAUCUGGAUCUGAUUUCACUCUGACCAUCAGUGGAGUCCAGACUGAAGAUGCUGGAGAUUAUUACUGUCAGAGUUUUCAUAGUGGUAAUGUGUUCACACAGUGUUAGAGCGUCGUACAAAAACCUGGGUGAGUGUGACUGCUGCAGCUGGGACCUACUGCAGGUGCUGAGGGGACGAUGUGAUACAACACACACACACACAAUCACACACACACACAAACACAAUCACACACACACACAAUCACACACACAAUCACACACACACACACAAUCACACACACACACACACACAAUCACACACACACACACAAUCACACACACACACACAAUCACACACACACACACACAAUCACACACACACACAAUCACACACAC